rnacentral:rRNA from 1 species
AGCAGCCGCGGUAAUUCCAGCUCCAAUAGCGUAUAUUAAAGUUGUUGCAGUUAAAAAGCUCGUAGUUGAAUUUCGGGAUCAAUACGUCGGUCGUGCUUCGGUACGUACUGGCGUCAUUGGUUUCUCCCUUCUGACGAACCAUGAUGUCAUUAACUUGGUGUCAUGGGAAAUCAGGACUGUUACUUUGAAAAAAUUAGAGUGUUUAAAGCAGGCUCACGCUUGAAUACAUUAGCAUGGAAUAAUGAAAUAGGACGUUCGAUCCUAUUUUGUUGGUUUCUAGGAUCAACGUAAUGAUUAAUAGGGAUAGUUGGGGGCAUUAGUAUUCAAUUGUCAGAGGUGAAAUUCUUGGAUUUAUUGAAGACUAACUACUGCGAAAGCAUUUGCCAAGGAUGUUUUCAUUAAUCAAGAACGAAAGUUAGGGGAUCGAAGACGAUCAGAUACCGUCGUAGU